GGGAGUUCUGCAGAGACCGGAUGGCACUUGAGGGUGACAGUUUCCCUGCUGAUAGAAUGUGUGCUUGUAGUUUGCUUAAAAUUUUUCGGCUCUAUGUAGUGGCACAUGCCUUUUAUCCCAGCACUUGUAAGGCAGAAGCAAGCAGAUCUCUGUAUUCGAGGUAGCCUAGAUUGCAGAGUGAGUUCCAGGACAGCCAGGGUUACACAGAGACCCUGUCUCCAAAAACAAAAAUAAAACAAAACAAGAAAUUAAAAAACAAAAACAAAAACAAAAAACAAAAAUAAAUUCUGGAUUGAAUGAAUUCUGGAAUGUAGGCUCCGAGGUUAAGAACACACACUGCUGUUAUUAAGGACCGGAUUUGGCAGCUUGUUAGCAUCUGUAAUUCUCCUCUGGGGGACCUGGCUCAUUUUCAGGGAUACCUGCACUCAGGUGCACAUCCCCACCCUACAUAUUCCUUUUUUUGUUUUAAGUUUAAAGAAGUAACUUCGGCAUUUAGUUCACUGCUCUUGCAGGGGACCUGAGUUCAGUUUCCACAUUGGGACACAGAGACCUGUAACUCAAGCCGCAGGGAUCCAGCGCCCUCUCCUGGCCGUUGUAGGCACUGUACUCGUGGGCACCUGCAUUGAGAGCACAUUCUCCUGGAUACAUAAUUAUUAAGUCUUUAGGACCCUUGGAGGCCCCCAGAAACUGAGCCACCAACAGAAGAGCAUUCAUGGGCUGGACCUAUGCCCCCCACACAGAUGUAGCAGAAGUGCAACUUGGUCUUCAUGUGGGUCCCCCAACAAUUGGAGCAACUGGACCCCUGACUCUGUUGCCUGCCUGUAGAUCCUGCUCCCCUAACUGGGCUGUCUUGUCUGACCUCAGUGGGUGUGGAUGUGCCUAGUCCUGCAGUGACUUGAGAUUGCCCGGGUGGGUUGGUUCCUGGGAGGGACCUCCCCCUUCUCAGCGGUGAAGAGGGAGGGGCCAUUUGAGGGGGCACUGGCAGGACCGGUGGAACCGUGAUAGGGAUGUAAAAUGAAUAAAUAAGUUAAUG
rnacentral:lncRNA from 1 species